rfam:Nematostella vectensis strain CH2 x CH6 NEMVEscaffold_13_Cont2794, whole genome shotgun sequence.
GUUGGUCGUACAGUGGUUAGCAUAGCUGCCUUCCAAGCAGUUGACCCUGGUUCGAUUCCUGACCAACA